CCUACGGGGUGCAGCAGUGAGGAAUAUUGGUCAAUGGACGAGAGUCUGAACCAGCCAAGUAGCGUGAAGGAUGACUGCCCUAUGGGUUGUAAACUUCUUUUAUAUGGGAAUAAAAUGUUCCACGUGUGGGAUUUUGUAUGUACCAUAUGAAUAAGGAUCGGCUAACUCCGUGCCAGCAGCCGCGGUAAUACGGAGGAUCCGAGCGUUAUCCGGAUUUAUUGGGUUUAAAGGGAGCGUAGGUGGAUUGUUAAGUCAGUUGUGAAAGUUUGCGGCUCAACCGUAAAAUUGCAGUUGAAACUGGCAGUCUUGAGUACAGUAGAGGUGGGCGGAAUUCGUGGUGUAGCGGUGAAAUGCUUAGAUAUCACGAAGAACUCCGAGUGCGAAGGCAGUUCACUGGACUGCAACUGACACUGAGGCUCGAAAGUGUGGGUAUCAAACAGGAUUAGAUACCCCUGUAGUC
rnacentral:rRNA from 1 species